GUGCUCGCUUGGCAGCAUGUAUACUAAAAUUGGAAUGAUACGGAGAGGAUUAGCAUGGCCCCUGCACAAGGAUGAAACGCAAAUUUGUGAGGGGUUCCGUAUUUAA
ensembl:snRNA U6 U6 spliceosomal RNA